rnacentral:tRNA from 1 species
GCGGGCAUAGUUUAGUCGGCAAAACACAAGCUUGCCGAGCUUGAGUCCCCGGUUCGAACCCGGGUGCCCGCU